AACUUACUGGAACUGUAUUGACGCUCAUGAACGAAAGCGUGGGUAGCGAAAAGGAUUAGAUACCCUUGUAGUCCACGCCCUAAACGAUGAUAACUAAGUGUUGGGGAUUGCCCCAGUGCUGAAGCUAACGCGUUAAGUUAUCCACCUGAGGAGUACGGGCGCAAGCUUAAAACUCAAAGGAAUAGACGGGGACCCACACAAGCAGUGGAUCACGUGGUUUAAUUCGACAAUAAACGGGGAAUCUUACCCAGACUUGACAUCCUAGGAAAUUACCAGAAAUGGUUUUGUGCCCUCACGGGAACCUAGUGACAGGUGCUGCAUGGUUGUCGUCAGCUCGUGCCUUGAGGUGUUCGGUUAAGUCCGUUAACGAGCGCAACCCAUGUCUUUAGUUAUAUGUCUAAAGAGACUGCCUUGGUUAACAAGGAGGAAGGUGUGGAUGACGUCAAAUCAGCAUGGCUUUUACGUCUGGGGCUACACACAUGAUACAAUGGUACGUACAAAGAGCAGCAAUAUGGCGACAUUGAGCUAAUCUUAAAAGCGUAUCUCAGUCCGGAUUGAAGUCUGAAACUCGACUUCAUGAAGUUGGAAUUGCUAGUAAUCGUGAAUCAGAUAUGUCACGGUGAAUAUGUUCCUGGGUCUUGUACUCACCGCCCGUCAUGGCAUGGGAGGAGAUAAUAUUGGAAGCCCCUCUAGUAAUAUGAGGGUCCAUAGUAGGAUCUCUGACUGGGCUAAAGUCGUAACAAGGUAUCCGUAGGAGAACCUGCGGAUGGACUAUCUCCUUA
rnacentral:rRNA from 1 species